AUGAUUUUGAUACACAAAUUAGAUGAUUGUUGAUAGCAACACAUGACCAAAAGCACAAUGUGCUGAAGAAAUGAUUUCAAUCUUUUUUUUUUUUUUUGAAAGGUCAAGAUAAAAUGAUAUUAAUAACCAAAAGAGUACAAGGAGUACUCAAGUUCGAGCAAUACAAUGACAGCGACGCAGAGAAAAACGUCAAAACAGCUAAGAAUACAGAGAGGAGGGAAAGCAACUAAUAGGAUGAAAAGCCCAGUCAUGAUAUGAGAAACAAAAAGCACGAGGGUUGGCAGCCUUAACCCAUCUCCAUGUGCACACGAUAAUGUCUUCCACAGUUUUACCAACAUUUGGAUUUCUAUUCUCAAAGAUUCCAUCGUUUCUAGCUUUCCAAACCUUCCAACAAACACAUUGCCAAAAAUAAUUGAGCAUUGCUUUUUCAUUUUUGGUCUUGCCCAAAUCGACGAAUUCAAAGAAGUGAUUGAGCAAAGAAGUCGAAGAUGGGAUAGGGCUCUGAAUCCACUCACGAAUCUUUUUCCAAACUGCACCAGAAAAAUGGCAUGAGAGAAGAAUGUGGUUGGAUUACUCCUCUUGGAAAGAACAAAGGGGACAGACAUGAUCAACGUUUUCAGCAUCAAUCGAUCUCUUCAAAAGAUUAGCCCUAGUGGAGAUUCUGUCUUGUAGGGCUUUCCAGAUGAAUACGGAGACUUUGUAACGAACUUCAUCCAAAUCAAGUGAACAACUUUCGGAAUGUAAUCUUCGGAUGAUGAAGCUUUAUGAAGAAUGGUGUACAUCUCUUUGGUGGACAAGUCUCCAAAAUUGGAACCUUUCCAGAGGAAGGAGUCCGCUUUUGAGUGAUAAACAUAAAUAAAUCAAGAAAUUCAACAAAGUUAGGAAGGUUAAACAUCCUAUCCUAUGAGAACUCCUUGCUUACAAACCCCAUCUCACCAACCUUGCGAUCUUUUUGAGAAGACAACGGAUAUAAGUUUUGGAACCCGAGUUUCAAAGAACAUCCCCCUCAAUCCAUAGAUCAUCCCAAAAGAACACAGACUGGCCGUUAGGCCCGUUACCAAGAGAGAAUUGUAGAUUAUCGAAAAAGGUUUUACCCUCGGGACCAUUCGCCAAACCUCUCAUAUCCCUCCACCAAAUAGACUCCGCAUUAGCAUUGCCAGUGUUCCCACCCCCAAUUGAAAAUUUCCCAUAUCUAGACCUAAGCACUCUCACCCACAAACCACUCUGGUUGUUAACCCAUCUCCAUAGCUAUUUACAAAGAAAAGCAAUGUUGAAAUUUUUAAUGUCCCUGACCCCAAGAUCUCCCUCUGGCUUACUUCUACAAACUCUAUCCCAAUUCACCCAACAAAUUUUCCUACAAUUUUCCUUCCCAUUUCAAUCUUAAGGCAUAAUUUGAAGCCAAUUAAGUGUAACCUUCUUCUGACAGCAAAUGGCAAUGAAUUAGAGCAACUAUUGCAUUCAUCAAUAUCACAAAUUUCUAUUUUAUUUUAAUUUUUCCGAUCUUGAGGCCCAUUUUUUUUUUGGCAUUCAUCAAAAUGACAUAUCACCAAACUCUUCCUAUUUCCAAAACGUGAGAAAUAAAUGUAUGUGCAAGUAUCUCCGAUUCCACACCAUUCCUCUCCAAAAUGGCAACAUUUUUAUGAGCUUGCGUUUCUAGCUUGUGCAUUCUACGAGUAUCACUACCAGCUGUAGCCACACCGCCAGUCGGCCCAACCACUCCACCACCGGAUUCAAGCCCGACAACCUCCAUUAAGCCAGCCCGUUGUAAGUCCAACCCUACCACCAGCUGUACCUCCACCACAAGCAUCCCCCAGGCCAACACACAGCCUAUGCAGUAAAAUCACCUGCACCAGCACCUGUAGUACCAGCCAACACCGGUGGCACCACCAACUCCAGCACCAGCUUUACUACCACCGGUCCCAGCACCAGUAGCGGUCCCCUCACCCACACCAGCACCUGCCAAGCACAAAUACAGGCGUCAUCAUGCCCCAGCACCGACACCAAUUGUUGUUGAAAACCCUCCGACUCCACCAACCACCCAAGACACAGAGGACACAGCAUCAGCACCGGCACCAACCUCAAAUUUGAAUGGCGGCAUCUCACUUGAUCAUGCAGGUGACCGCCGGAUUGGCCCUGGCUACCCUUUUGGCUGUCAGCGGUUUCUUAUUCUAAUUUAUGCAAGAAGCAAUCUCCUAUAGAUAAACUGUGGACCAUUUUGGCAUUCGAGAAAGGCGUAUUCGCAUAGAGAAGAGGAUCAGAGCAUCAGAGCAGUUUUAUCUAUAUGAUAUUCAUUCUUUAUCUCCAAAAUGUUUUACUAUCAUUCUAAAAAUUUAAAAUUUGUUAUAUUUGUCAUGAGAUCACAGCAGAUUUUUUGCCUCAAAAAUUGAAAUGCUGACAAAUUAAAGAUC